UACGUAGGGAGCAAGCGUUAUCCGGAAUCAUUGGGCGUAAAGCGCGCGUAGGUGGCUUCGUAAGUCCGUUGUGAAAGUCAAAGGCUCAACCUUUGAAAGCCGAUGGAUACUGCGGAGCUAGAGUACGGAAGAGGCGAGUGGAAUUCCUGGUGUAGCGGUGGAAUGCGCAGAUAUCAGGAGGAACACCAAUAGCGAAGGCAGCUCGCUGGGACGUUACUGACACUGAGGCGCGAAAGCGUGGGGAGCGAACAGG
rnacentral:rRNA from 1 species